GCCCUCAGCCUGGGUGUCUUGUCCCUGCUGCUCCUGCUGGUGCAAAUCGUCCUCGUCGGCUUGAGCUUCCACUGUGAGUACCCCCUUGUGCGCCCCCAUCCAUCCAGCCCCCGAGCUGGGGACCCUCCCGCUUGGGGCUGACGGUGCCGCAGGUUUCUGGGCUGUGGGGCGAGUGGGAAAAGUGGUGAGUAAAAAUAAAACACCCCUUGCCUGGCCGGCUGGAGCGCUGAAGAGGAGGGAGAGGGGAAAGCGUGGGCUCGAGGACGGCGCCGGGGCACCCCGCUCCAUCAGCUGGCCACGGCGUGCAGACAGGACGUGACGCUGGGGCCAAAAGGCAGAAACCUGCCAUGUGCUGGGCACAGACGGCGAGGGCUUUGUCCAGCUGGGCUGGCACGGCACCGAGGGAGGGGGAUGGCACCCCCUGGGUGCUACCGGCCCCUGGUGGGGGACGCUCCCGUGCCUUUCUUCUGUAGAUUUAGCCCAGCAGGCGAGCUGUGCCCAGAGAGAGGAGGAGAGCCUCCGCUAUGUGCAGCAGUCUUUGCGAGAGAGCUGCCAGUUCUGCCCGGCCGGAUGGAUCGGGGACGCGGGGCGCUGCUACUACUUCUCCUCUGCCAAGAAGAGCUGGGAGCAGAGCAAAGACGACUGCUGCUCCAGGGGGGCGCAGCUGGUCACCGUCCGAGCCAACAGCACCCUGGUGAGUCCGCCCGCCCUCCCCAGCCAC
rnacentral:lncRNA from 1 species